rnacentral:rRNA from 1 species
UAUAGUGCCAACACAAAACCGAAGGGUAUGAGUUGCACAUGGGUGGAUACACAGAAAACUGAGGAGCUGAAAUGUUGAGUGCUGGAGGCAACCUAGCGGCGGACGGGUGAGUAACGCGUGAGCAAUCUGCCUCAUACAGGGGGAUAACAGGUGGAAACACUUGCUAAUACCGCAUAAGACCACAGCGCUGCAUGGCGCAGGGGUCAAAGGAGUAAGAUCCGGUAUGAGAUGAGCUCGCGUCCCAUUAGCUAGUUGGCGGGGUAACGGCCCACCAAGGCGACGAUGGGUAGCCGACCUGAGAGGGUGAUCGGCCACACUGGGACUGAGACACGGCCCAGACUCCUACGGGAGGCAGCAGUGGGGAAUAUUGCGCAAUGGGGGGAACCCUGACGCAGCAACGCCGCGUGAGUGAAGAAGGUCUUCGGAUCGUAAAACUCUGUCAUAGGGGAAGAAGGAGAUGACGGUACCCUAUGAGGAAGCCCCGGCUAACUACGUG